AACAGCUGACCUCUGCCUUGCCUUGAGAUUCAUAUUUAUUCCCCUAUCCUUUUCUAACUUAGCCAUUGUCUGUUCUUUGUUUACAGCACUCUGGUGUACCAGAAAAUACGAUUUAAAGAACCAUACAAUCUGGAAGCAAUUCUGUCCGGUGGUUGGAAACACGAGGAGGUCUACCAGGAGGGGCCAUUGGUGGAGGAACGUCACGUGACUGAGGGGUGCCAAUGUUAUUCUUUAAGGGUGUCAAGACCCUGUCAGUUUGUGAAAU
rnacentral:lncRNA from 1 species